AAAACGCAUCAGUGUCCAAUCUAUGUUUUUGUGCGGACGGAUUCAACCGGUUGCGGAAUGUUGUCACUUUUACACUUCGAUACAAAUCAGCAGAACAUGAUGACAGGCUGUAUGUUUAACCCUUACUGUGCCAGAGAGGUCCUGAUGGCGUGAUUAAAUGUUGCUUAUAAAAUAGCCUACUACUGAAAAGUUACAAAGUAAAAAUAUCAGUGUAUUAAUUAAUUUAUUUAUUGUCAACAGCUGGCCAGAAACUUGAUUCGUUUGCAGCUGUUCUUUAAAAAAGGUAGUGAGGACGUUUAAUAUAGUCUUUUUUUUUUUUUAGCUAUUUAGUUGCACGAUUUGUGAUAUUUACUGAAUUGGACAUAAAAUGGUUUAGAGAGCAUAUGUUGCAUUACGCAUUGCCGCUCACGUCAUAAUGUCAUUAAAUCUUACAAUGUGAUCUUUGUGAAAAAUAAUUUUAACGCGCAUUUUCAAAUUGAACAUUAAAUAUCAAUCAAGGAUAACAUGUUUAUCUAAUUCAUGACUGUCUUUUGACAAGUUAAAUUACACAUUCACACCAUAACAUUGCAUUAGAAGCUAAAUCCGCGCCGUGAACGGAGAAAGCAGAGACAAGUAGGCAGACACUUGUUGCCGAAGCCACGAGUGAACAGACACAGAGCUAAAGCGGGACUUAUUGAAACUGACAGUAAAAUAUGGGAUAUGCACGCCUUUACCAGACAGGCUGUCGCUCCGGUGAUAAGGUGGCACUGGGGGUCUGGAGGGAGACAGAGAGGAACGAGGGCUGACCUGAGCUCUGCCACUGUCCUCUACACCGUCUAGAUGACCACUUCACGUCACCUUUGAGACACUGUGGGAAGCAUUCCAGUUUAAGGGUGAUUGUGUGCGUGUGUGUUUGUUUUUAAAGGUGGAAGUGAUGAGAAGACGCCUGAAGAUGCUGGAGAGGAUGGAAAAGUGAAAAAAAAA